ACUCAAAAAGAGUCCCCAAUAGGACGAAACGCGCGUCCUGGAU
rnacentral:hammerhead_ribozyme from 1 species